rnacentral:tRNA from 1 species
UAGCUCAGUUGGUAGAGCAUGAGACUCUUAAUCUCAGGGUCGUGGGUUCAGGAGUCAGCCCCAC